UAUUUUGGAUUAGUUGGUGGUGGCCGAAUAAUGUGGUUGAAGAUUUGGGAAAAAUGCUGGACUUCAGUGCAGAGAACUUGACCUGAGGGAUUGAUGGCUGAAGAUAUUUAAGCUAAAACCCCGUCUGCCUAUUUUAUAAAGGGGAAACAGAUGAUCGAGCCACUGAAUCCGGAUUUAAAGAGCAGUGUAAACGGGGUUUAAGGCUACCGAAGACUUCAUACAGUUGUUUCCAUCGUGAAAGAUUCAGAAAGUGGAAGUAAGCUAAGUCCCACUAUCUAAGCUAUAAAGGCAUAAGCAAGGAAGCGUUUUCAAAUUUGCUUAUUUUGUAACUUUUCAAUGGGUUUUAAGAGAGUUGGGCUUAUGUAUAAAGGUGUUCAAAUACAUACAAUUGCCCGAGUUA